rnacentral:rRNA from 1 species
UAAGCGGAGGAAAAGAAACCAACAGGGAUUGCCCUAGUAACGGCGAGUGAAGCGGCAUCAGCUCAAAUUUGAAAUCUGGCUCUUUCAGGGUCCGAGUUGUAAUUUGCAGAGGGCGCUUUGGCGUUGGCAGCGGUCUAAGUUCCCUGGAACAGGACGUCACAGAGGGUGAGAAUCCCGUAUGUGGUCGCUGGCCUUCGCCGUGUAAAGCCCCUUCGACGAGUCGAGUUGUUUGGGAAUGCAGCUCUAAAUGGGAGGUAAAUUUCUUCUAAAGCUAAAUACUGGCCAGAGACCGAUAGCGCACAAGUAGAGUGAUCGAAAGAUGAAAAGCACUUUGGAAAGAGAGUCAAAUAGCACGUGAAAUUGUUGAAAGGGAAGCGCUUGCAGCCAGACUUGCCUGUAGUUGCUCAUCCGGACUCUUGUCCGGUGCACUCUUCUGCGGGCAGGCCAGCAUCAGUUUGGGCGGUUGGAUAAAGGUCUCUGUCAUGUACCUCCUUUCGGGGAGGCCUUAUAGGGGAGACGACAUGCAACCAGCCUGGACUGAGGUCCGCGCAUCUGCUAGGAUGCUGGCGUAAUGGCUGUAAGCGGCCCGUCUUGAAACACGGACCAAGGAGUCUAACAUCUAUGCGAGUGUUUGGGUGUCAAGCCCGAGCGCGUAAUGAAAGUGAACGGAGGUGGGAUCCCUUAAGGGUGCACCAUCGACCGAUCCUGAUGUCUUCGGAUGGAUUUGAGUAAGAGCAUGGCUGUUGGGACCCGAAAGAUGGUGAACUAUGCUUGAAUAGGGUGAAGCCAGAGGAAACUCUGGUGGAGGCUCGCAGCGGUUCUGACGUGCAAAUCGAUCGUCAAAUUUGGGCAUAGGGGCGAAAGACUAAUCGAACUAUCUAGUAGCUGGUCU